AUUAGAGAAUUGCAUACACUGAAAGGGCAUGUGGAGUCGGUGGUGAGAAUGAAGGGCCUUGACAUAGACACAAUUCAGCAAUCAUACACUGUGUGAUGGAUCAUACACUUAUGAUUCCGCAUGUUAGAAACACCGGAAGCACAAUAGCAGCAAUCUGUAGAUCGGACAGUGGAAUUCCUUCAUAAAUAGUACCAAUCCAAAUAUUGGAGAAACCUCCGCAGUGCUAAUGGCAAUCCAGGAAACAGUGAAUAGAAACUUAAAAAAAGAUUCUCAUUGAAGGAGACUUAAAGCUGGUAGUGCAGGCAAUUUCCCAACCAAAGUAUGCAACAGAUUGGACAAUGCAAUCUAUUACAAGAGAUAUAGAAUAUCUGCUAAGCUUCUUUGAUGAAUGGAAAGUGCAAAAAAUUCAUCGAAUCGAUGUGCCUUAGUCAUCCAUUUAUGCUCUCCUUCUGGGAUGAGAAAAAAUGUAUGACAUGAGCAGAAAAUUAGGAAAAUUAGGCCCCUUGUCAACCCUCUUUUAUCACUUCACAUACCAUUUCUUGUUUGAUGUUUA